rnacentral:rRNA from 1 species
UAUUCGAGUGGCGGACGGGUGAGUAACGCGUGGGUAACCUGCCUUACACAGGGGGAUAACACCUGGAAACAGGUGCUAAUACCGCAUAAGCGCACAGGGCCGCAUGGCCCGGUGUGAAAAACUCCGGUGGUGUAAGAUGGACCCGCGUCUGAUUAGCUUGUUGGCGGGGUAAAGGCCCACCAAGGCGACGAUCAGUAGCCGGCCUGAGAGGGUGAACGGCCACAUUGGGACUGAGACACGGCCCAAACUCCUACGGGAGGCAGCAG